CCAGACUCCUACGGGAGGCAGCAGUGAGGAAUAUUGGUCAAUGGGCGGAAGCCUGAACCAGCCAAGUCGCGUGAGGGAUUAAGGCCCUAUGGGUCGUAAACCUCUUUUGUCAGGGAGCAAUGGCGUCCACGUGUGGGCGUAUGGAGAGUACCUGAAGAAAAAGCAUCGGCUAACUCCGUGCCAGCAGCCGCGGUAAUACGGAGGAUGCGAGCGUUAUCCGGAUUUAUUGGGUUUAAAGGGUGCGUAGGCGGGACCUUAAGUCAGCGGUAAAAUUGCGGUGCUCAACGCCGUAGAGCCGUUGAAACUGGGGUUCUUGAGUGAGCGAGAAGUAUGCGGAAUGCGUGGUGUAGCGGUGAAAUGCAUAGAUAUCACGCAGAACCCCGAUUGCGAAGGCAGCAUACCGGCGCUCAACUGACGCUGAGGCACGAAAGUGCGGGUAUCGAACAGGAUUAGAUACCCUAGUA
rnacentral:rRNA from 1 species